rnacentral:rRNA from 1 species
GGAAUAUUGGACAAUGGGGGCAACCCUGAUCCCGCCAUGCCGCGUGCGUGAAGAAGGCCUUAGGGUUGUAAAGCGCUUUCGACGGGGAAGAUGAUGACGGUACCCGUAGAAGAAGCCCCGGCUAACUCCGUGCCAGCAGCCGCGGUAAUACGGAGGGGGCUAGCGUUGUUCGGAAUUACUGGGCGUAAAGGGCGCGUAGGCGGACCAUCAAGUCAGGGGUGAAAGGCCUGGGCUCAACCCGGGAACUGCCUUUGAAACUGAAGGUCUAGAGUCCGAGAGAGGAUAGCGGAAUUCCCAGUGUAGAGGUGAAAUUCGUAGAUAUUGGGAAGAACACCAGUGGCGAAGGCGACUCGCUGGACAGGUAUUGACGCUGAGGUGCGAAAGCGUGGGGAGCAAAC